rnacentral:lncRNA from 1 species
UCCAUUGAACUUUCUGUGCUUCUGUGCUGUAUGUUACGUAUGUUACGCAGUCGUGAGAAAGAAUGAAAGAAUAAUAAUAUUAUUAUGUGAUAAUUGUAUAAUACUGUAUGUUUAUAAAUUGUAUAGGUUAAAUGAACAUCCAAGUUUAUGAGCCAAGGAAUUGGACUCGCUGCACAAAUACAUCAAAGUUGUUGCGGCGUGCGGUACCGCGGUACGACCACAAGCGAAAUGGCCCAUUAUUGGAUUGAA